AACGAACGUUGGCGGCGUGGAUUAGGCAUGCAAGUCGUACGCGAAAGAGGGGGCAACUCCUCGAGUAAAGUGGCGAACGGGUGAGUAACGCGUAGGAAACCUGCCUUCGAGAUGGGGAUAACACUCCUAACGGGGUGCUAAUACCGAAUGACACUGCGGGAUCGCAUGGUUCUGCAGUCAAAGGUGGCCUCUGCUUGCAAGCUACCACUCAAAGAUGGUCCUGCGUCCCAUUAGCUAGUUGGCGGGGUAACGGCCCACAAGGCGACGAUGGGUAGCCGAUCUGAGAGGAUGACCGGCCACACUGGGACUGAGAUACGGCCCAGACUCCUACGGGAGGCAGCAGUCGAGAGGCUUCGGCAAGUGGGGAAACCCUGACCGAGCGACGCCGCGUGGAGGAU
rnacentral:rRNA from 1 species